rnacentral:piRNA from 1 species
AACAACAGUUGAGGACUUCAGAGC